UUCGUUUCUUCCCGACAGCCUUAAUGUUCAAACGAGAAAGAUGAGGGUCCUAGAGGAAGGGGUUUCUCAUAUUCACUCAGCAAGAAACUCCCGAGACCAGCGCGCUUUCCACAUGACUCCUCUGAGCGGAGGACUAUCCCUGAGGUCCUGUCAUGCUUGUGUUUCAGAAGCAUACAAGGCUUCCUACUUAAGAAUUGGCUUACUCUUUCAAGGCCCUCAAUGAGUCUUCUGCAUUGAGCUCCUUGAGGACUGAGGGACUCAACUCUGCAUCACAGUAUCAACCACAAGGCCCCAGAGGAAGGAUACCGAGGGAGACCCCAAGAACACCCCACGCCUGGCUGACCAGGCCGCUUGCGCUGCAGAGGAGGCGGACACAUCUGGAAGGGACAGGAUUUAUGUUGCAUACUUGAACUACAAAGUGGUGUUACGAGCCUGUUGUCCCAGUUAUGGAAGCUGAGGUAGGAGGAUGACUUGAGAACAAGAGUUUGAGGCCAACCUGGACAACACAGUGAUACCUCAUCUCAAAGAAGGAAGAAAGAAAGAAUGGAAGGGAAGAAGGAAGGUAAGUUGAUGUAGCCAGGUGCAGCUGUACACAUUUCUAGUCCCAGCUACUCAGGAGAUUGGAGGCGGGAGGACUGCUUGAGCCCAUGAG